rnacentral:lncRNA from 1 species
CUUGGCGUGGGAGUGAGUGGGGCUGGCUCACAGCUGAGGGCAUGGAGCAAAUGUGACUGGAAGCAGGGUUGCGCGCCGUGGGAGGGCAGGGCAGGGAGCAAGGGGACGUCGGAAAUGCCCCCUCCGGGUCCAGCCAUCCAAAGAGACGGAUCAGCAACAGAGAACCUGUAAGACUGAGCAAGCAAGUUUGGGAGGCAGACUGGAAAGAUUGCCAGCAUCUGGGGAGACUUAAGUAAUGGGAGCUUUUCAGAGGAUGUCCAGGGCAAAGGAUGUUGGUGGGGCAGAGCUGCAGAGGGUGCCAAGCACAUUCCUGCCAUCCGUGAGACAGAGCUAACAAAUGUCUCUCUUCCACAGAUCUUGCGAAGACCAAAGCAGUCCAGCAGCUCAGAAGAAAUCAUUGAAGAAAGUUGCAGGUACAAGCCCUUAGAAGCAAAGCACCCAGAAGCUGGGGGAUGGAUGCUCAGGACUGCUUCAGCCCCUCCCAAUCACGGAGUGGAUUUCAGCCUUCUCCACAGAGUGCCUCUACCCAUCCACUCUUCUGACCUGCCCACCACUCUCCUCCUCGCCUCCCAAGGACACUAAGGUUCAAAAGAAGUCAGCAAAUUGCCCACUAUUAUACAGCUGAAGGUGGCAGGACGAGGGCUUGAUCCCAAUACGAAAUCACAAAAAUUUCAUUAGUGGAAAAAUCACUUCAGAUAUGCCUUGAGUCUUCUUUCAUUUUCCUGGAAGUGAAUCCAGAAUGGAGCUAUAAAAUCACUUUUGAAUACAGUCCUGGUAGAAACUUGUGGUUUAUAGCAUGAAACCAUUUGAAUUAACUUCUUAGAGAUUGAAGAUGAUAAUAUCAUCCAAGAAAAUCAUAGGCAUUAGAGUGUUUGUUGCACAGCAGUUACUGGAGAGAAAGAUGUUCUUUAUUUUGUUUUCAACUUCACAUCUCAGCAGCUUUGCAGAGUGCCUGGUACCUAAACUUGGACUUUCAUCUGUCAAACAAUGAACACACAAUUUAAGCUAUUUUUUAUGGUGACCUGCCUGCUUGCAGUUACAAGUUGAGUUUUAUAAAAACGAAUGGAAAGAGUGAAAAAUGAAAAUGUUAAUACUAGUGAUAAAAAGUGUAGGUCUUCUAAAAUUAGGUACAAUUGAAGCAAAAGUGAAAUAUUCAGAUGUGCCAAAAAGCUCAAACCAACCUCAACCAACUACUCAUUGUCUAUACUCAAUGUGUUCAACUGUGAAUGAAGCAAACAAGAUUAAACACAUAAAGGAAAUGUUGGGAAAAUGGCAUUAAAGAUUGUAUCUAAAAGGCAAGGCGUCCCCAAAUUUUAUGAGGUCCCAUACUCUACACAGAGCAAGUCAAACAGGUAACAGGGUAACUACUAAGCCUCCACUUCUCUUGAUGAUAUGAUGUUUCAUGUUACCUCUGGCAUCUUGGACAAGCCACUGAUGGCCUUGAUGUUACCGAUAAAAGGAACCAGGAAGAUCACACUUGCCUAAAAGCAGGAGCUUAGUUUAUCCCCAGUGGAUUCCUUGAUUGUAUGUCUUGAGGAUUUUCUUCAGAGUUGACUGCUGUGACUGACACUUUCUUUUUCCAUGAAACAGCACAAUAAAUUGAUGAGUCUGGCGAUGAUAAAUAGAAGUGUCCCAUCUGCUGUUGUCUACCAUUUUUAUUUUACAUUCCAUCGUCAACAAAAUGCUGUAACAGCAGUGCCAACUGGAAAGAGUGACUCUUGAAAAAUUUUCCUUCUUUGCAUUUCCACUCAAUAAUGCAUUUUAAAUCUGUAUCCUUUACUUGCUUUUCUUGGGCUCAUCAAGUUUAGGCAUAAGCUUUUUAUCAACUCUGAUUUGGGUUACUGUUGACUUGAAAUACAUCAGAAGGAGGAUCACUGAGCCAUGGCUAUACCGAUGGUUGGAUGUCAGGAGCAGAUGACCUCUGCGGUUGACCAUGGAAAGCAAAACUGCAGGUAAGGGGGACGGCUGUACUAUGACACAUCCCUUCUGCCUCACAUCCUCCUUUGUCUCAGUCACCAGAAGCAAUAGUCUUCUCAGCUAAUCCACAUUGUGUAGACCCUUAUCCCCAUCCUAUCAUGUUCAUGGUCUAGUCCAAUAGCCCCAAACGAUUUUCCAUGAUCACUUCCCUAAGGAGUCUUUGUAGAUGUUUUUCGUAACUGCCCUCCUCAUCUCCCCCACUCAUGAAAUUUUAAUGCCACAGAUAUACUAAAUAUCUGUUAGUGUACUAUCUGUAUGUGGUAUAUAUGUGCUUUAGACAUAAAGAAAGUAAGAGUUUUUUCACCUUCCAGGAACCAAUUUUUGUCUCCUUGGGAACAAUAUCACCUCUGUUGAAAAUGUAUCAUCUAGUCUGACUCUAUCUUCCCUCUCCUCCAGCUUCCCAAACCUUUUCUCUGUAUGAAUAUUUUACUCUUCUAAAUCCAUUCUAUGCAUGCUUGGCAAUUGGAUUGUUUCAACUUUGGGUUAUGAAAAAGAUGUUUCUAUGUGCAUUUGUAUAUAUGUAUCCUGGUACUGAUGUAUGAGUUUCUCUCCAGUAUAUACACUAUGUAGAUAUAGGCAUGAGUGUAAUUGCAGGGUCGUGGGGUGUUUGUAUGCUAGAUUCUUCUAGAUAAUGUCAAACUCUUUUUCAAAGUGCUUGCACCAAUUUAUAUUCUCAUU